UUUAAUUGAAGAGUUUGAUCAUGGCUCAGAUUGAACGCUGGCGGCAGGCCUAACACAUGCAAGUCGAGCGGCAGCACAGAGAAACUUGUUUCUCGGGUGGCGAGCGGCGGACGGGUGAGUAAUGCCUGGGAAAUUGCCCUGAUGUGGGGGAUAACCAUUGGAAACGAUGGCUAAUACCGCAUGAUAGCUUCGGCUCAAAGAGGGGGACCUUCGGGC
rnacentral:rRNA from 1 species